UACGUAGGGUGCGAGCGUUAAUCGGAAUUACUGGGCGUAAAGCGUGCGUAGGUGGUGAGUUAAGUCUGUCGUGAAAGCCCCGGGCUCAACCUGGGAAUGGCGAUGGAUACUGGCUCGCUAGAGUGCGGCAGAGGGGGAUGGAAUUCCGCGUGUAGCAGUGAAAUGCGUAGAUAUGCGGAGGAACACCGAUGGCGAAGGCAAUCCCCUGGGCCUGCACUGACGCUCAUGCACGAAAGCGUGGGGA
rnacentral:rRNA from 1 species